rnacentral:rRNA from 1 species
GUGGGGAAUCUUCCGCAAUGGACGAAAGUCUGACGGAGCAACGCCGCGUGAGUGAUGAAGGUCUUCGGAUUGUAAAGCUCUGUUAAUCGGGACGAAAGAGCCUAGUGUGAAUAAUGCUAGGAAGUGACGGUACCGGAAUAGAAAGCCACGGCUAACUACGUGCCAGCAGCCGCGGUAAUACGUAGGUGGCAAGCGUUGUCCGGAAUUAUUGGGCGUAAAGCGCGCGCAGGCGGAUCUGCCAGUCUGUCUUAAAAGUUCGGGGCUUAACCCCGUGAUGGGAUGGGAACUACAGAUCUAGAGUAUCGGAGAGGAAAGUGGAAUUCCUAGUGUAGCGGUGAAAUGCGUAGAUAUUAGGAAGAACACCAGUGGCGAAGGCGACUUUCUGGACGAAAACUGACGCUGAGGCGCGAAAGCCAGGGGAGCGAACGGGAUUAGAAACCCGUGUAGUCC